AAACUUUCAACAACGGAUCUCUUGGUUCUCGCAACGAUGAAGAACGCAGCGAAAUGCGAUACGUAAUGUGAAUUGCAGGUUUUCGUGAAUCAUCGAAUCUUUGAACGCACAUUGCGCCCUCUGGUAUUCCAGAGGGCAUGCCUGUUUGAGCGUCAUUU
rnacentral:rRNA from 1 species